rnacentral:rRNA from 1 species
CAGAGGGGGCAAGCGUUGUUCGGAAUUACUGGGCGUAAAGGGCGCGUAGGCGGCCUUCUAAGUCAUGCGUGAAAUCCCCGGGCUCAACCCGGGAACUGCGCCUGAUACUGGAAGGCUUGAAUCCGGGAGAGGGAUGUGGAAUUCCAGGUGUAGCGGUGAAAUGCGUAGAUAUCUGGAGGAACACCGGUGGCGAAGGCGGCAUCCUGGACCGGUAUUGACGCUGAGGCGCGAAAGCCAGGGGAGCAAACGGGAUUAGAUACCCCGGUAGUCCUGGCCCUAAACGAUGAAUGCUUGGUGUGGCGGGUAUCGAUCCCUGCCGUGCCGAAGCUAACGCAUUAAGCAUUCCGCCUGGGGAGUACGGUCGCAAGGCUG